UCCAUUUCCUAUAUAUAGUAUGAAAAAUGAAAAAAAAAAACAAAAAAUUGCCAUUUGGAGAGGGAGUGGCCGAGAGCUUGGAGGAGAGAAAGAGGAGAAGUGAUUUUCGCCGUUUCUUGCCCGAUUGCUUCACCGUUCGUUGCUAAUCGAAGACAUCGAGGUUCGUUUGUGGAAACCUUGGGCUUGACUGAACAAGCUUGUGAGCGAGACCUGCACCGCGAGACUAGAACAACUCGAGACGUUCAACAGAUGAUUCAAGAAGGUUCGUCGUUCGGGGAGGACCCGGAGCGAAAUGACUACUACUGAGCCUUCGACGUGGACCCGGACUUCAUGGAAGAUCAGAUGAGGGUCGAAGAUAGUGGUGUAGGAUAUGGGUGGUUAGAGUUACUGAUUUUGGUUGUCAUGGUCAUAGCUCUGAUUCAUCAGUUGUAUUUUGGGGCAGGGUAGGUUCCCGACUAUUAGCUUUUUGUGUGAUUCUCUUCCAUGAGGAUCACAGGGAGUUUGUCGGGCGUAGGAAGUCUUUUGGAGGCCGUUUGGGGCUAAUUUAUUUUCUUGGAGGACUGUAGUUAUAAAGCUUGUGACUCUGACUAUGAGCCGCACUUAUUUGCCCGCGGGCACUACUUUCAAUUACUUAAUAUUACUUUCCGUCACUUGAGGACACUCGUGACGAUGUUUUUAGUUGCAGCAAGGGCUGUGCUUAUUUUGUAUAUUAAUCGCUGUUAAUUGCGAUUGGGUUGAGACCUUA